UCCCUGAGCCACCACUGGGCACUGAGACGGGGCACCGGGGACAUCAGGGGGACACAGGGGACAUGUGGGUCCCCCAGUCCUCACCGGUCUGCAGCCACUCCAGCUUGUCCUGCCAGCGCUCCCCGAUGUCCCUGCGGCGCUCCUGGAGCUCAGCCAGCUCCUGGGACAGCUGGGGGGACACGGGACAGGGGUGGGGACAAAGAUUGGGACACGCUGAUGGGGACAGGGACAAGCUCGGGGACAGGAUGGGGACAAGGACACGGGGACAGAGAUACAGAGGUGGGACACAGGGACAGUGAUGAGGACACGAGUGGACACAGGAUGGGCACAGCACGCUGGAGAUGAGGAUUUGAAUGAGGGAUGUGGGGCUGGGGAUUUGGGCACAGUGGCAAGGAUGGAGAGGCGGGGAUGAGGACACGGUGACAGAGUGACACAGGGGUGAGGACACGAUGACAGGGUGGCACAGGGCUGGGGUGACACAGUGACAGGGUGACACAGGGAUGGGGUGGCACAGUGACAGGGUGGCACAGUGACAGGGUGACACAGGGAUGGGGUGCCAUGGUGACACAGGGACGGGGUGGCACGGUGCCAGGCCUGUCCCACCUUGUCGGCGUCAUGGUGGCCGCGCUGCAGCAGCGCGGUGGCCGCGGCCACGGCGGCCCCGAAGGAGCCCUCGCGCGCCUCCAGCUCCGCCCGCAGCCCCUGGUGCUGCUGGAUCAGCAGCUCGGCCGCGGUGACAUCCCUGACAGGGGACAGGGACACCAGGGGGUCACGAUGGGGUCACCACGGUGUCCCCAUGUCCUCCAUAUCCUCAUGGUGUCCCCAUGUCCCUCCCAUCCCUGCAGUGUCCCCCCUGUCCCCGCGGUGUCCCCGCAGUGUCCCCAUGCCCCCAGUCCCACCUGGGCCUCUCGCGGGCCUGCAGCUGCAGCUGCACUCCGUCCAUCCAGAGCCGCAGGUCGCGGGCGGCGCGCAGGAACCGGAAUUGCUCCACGCUGUCCCCGAGCAGGCGGCGCCGGCGCUGGCAGCGCCCGCGGAGCUCGGCCCAGCCUGCCACUGGGCCACGGCCGCGCGCUCGGGGUGGCCCCCGGAGAUCAGCGCCGCCGCCGCCGCGUUGGCCGCGUCCACCCGCUCCUGGCCCAGCCCGCCCGUGUCCCGGGAGAACUCGCGGAACUUGUCCCGCAGCAGCUGCGGGGACACGGGACACGGUCAGGGCACAGGGGACGGGGGGACACGGGACAUGGGGUCAGGGGAUGGAGGAGAGGGGGACAUGGGACAC
rnacentral:lncRNA from 1 species